rnacentral:tRNA from 1 species
GUCAAGAUGGCCGGGGUGGUCUAAGGCGCUGCACUCAAGACGUUGUCUUAUCCAGUUAACUGGGUUCUUGCAGUAUCGAAAGAUUCUUGGGUCCGAAUCCCAACCUUGACA